AUUGAACGCUGGCGGCAGGCCUAACACAUGCAAGUCGCACGAGUGGCGGACGGGUGAGUAAUGUCUGGGAAACUGCCUGAUGGAGGGGGAUAACUACUGGAAACGGUAGCUAAUACCGCCUACCCUCGGAUGUGCCCAGAUGGGCUGCGCUAGUAGGGGGGGUAAAGGCUCACCUAGGCGACGGUCCCUAGCUGGUCUGAGAGGAUGACCAGCCACACGGGAACUGAGACACGGUCCAGACUCCUACGGUAGGCAGCAGUGGGGAAUAUUGCACAAUGGGCGCAAGCCUGAUGCAGCCAUGCCGCGUGUAUGAAGAAGGCCUUCGGGUUGUAAAGUACUUUCAGCGGGGAGGCGUUACCCGCAGAAGAAGCACCGGCUAACUCCGUGCCAGCCGCCGCGGUAAUAC
rnacentral:rRNA from 1 species